rnacentral:rRNA from 1 species
UACGUAGGGGGCUAGCGUUGUCCGGAAUCAUUGGGCGUAAAGCGCGUGUAGGCGGUUCGGUAAGUCCGCUGUGAAAGCCGGGGGCUCAACCCUCGAAUGCCGGUGGAUACUGUCGGACUAGAGUACGGAAGAGGCGAGUGGAAUUCCUGGUGUAGCGGUGAAAUGCGCAGAUAUCAGGAGGAACACCAAUUGCGAAGGCAGCUCGCUGGGACGUUACUGACGCUGAGACGCGAAAGCGUGGGGAGCAAACAGG